rnacentral:rRNA from 1 species
UACGAAGGGAGCUAGCGUUGUUCGGAAUCACUGGGCGUAAAGCGCACGUAGGCGGACGUGUCAGUCAGGGGUGAAAUCCCGGAGCUCAACUUCGGAACUGCCUUUGAUACAGCACGUCUUGAGUCCGGAAGAGGUGGGUGGAAUUCCUAGUGUAGAGGUGAAAUUCGUAGAUAUUAGGAAGAACACGGUGGCGAAGGCGGCCCAACUGGUCCGGUACUGACGCUGAGGUGCGAAAGCGUGGGGAGCAAACAGG